GACGAACGCUGGCGGCGUGCUUAACACAUGCAAGUCGAGCGGUAAGGCCCUUUCGGGGUACGACGAGCGGCGAACGGGUGAGUAACACGUGGGUGACCUGCCCUCAGCUCUGGGAUAAGCCUGGGAAACCGGGUCUAAUACUGGAUAUGACUCCAUGACGCAUGUUGUGGGGUGGAAAGCCUUGUGCGGCUGAGGAUGGGCCCGCGGCCUAUCAGCUUGUU
rnacentral:rRNA from 1 species